UGAGUAGAAGGGGGAAUAAGGUGAAAGGGGGAAUGGGUGAUUAAAUGAGUUAUGGUUGGUUGGAUGUUAGGGAGAGUUAGAUGGAUAAGUGUGGUAAUUGUAGAGGUAAUAGAUGAAGGUAGUGGGGGGAGGAGUGAUGGGAGGGGGGGUUUUAUUAGAAGAAAAGGAAUGGGUGGGGUGGUGGGUGGGUUGGGUUGGUGAGUGUGAAUAAGUUUGGGGUGAUGGGAGGGUGGGAGGAGGGGGGAGGGAUGUUUGAAAUGUGUGGGUUAUGAAGUUUGGAUGGUAGGUUGUGGGGGUAGGAUGGUUGUAAGGGGUGAGGGGGAAUGAGGGUUGGAUUGGGGAGAGGGAGGGUGAGAAAGGGGUAGGAGAUGGAAGGAAGGGAGGAGGGGGGGAAAUUAGGGAGUGGGGGGAGGGGGAGGUAGUGAGGAAAAAUAAGGAUACGGGAGUGAUGGGAGGGGGGGUAAUGGGAAUGAGAAGAGUUUAAAUGGUUUAAGGAGGAUGUAUUGGAGGGGAAGUGUGGUGGGAGGAGGGGGGGUAAUUGGAGGUGGAAUAGGGUAUAUUAAAGUUGUUGGGGUUAAAAAGGUGGUAGUGGGAGGUGUGUGUGGGAGGGUGGGUUGGGGGGUUGUGGGUGGUGAAGUGGGGGGUGGGGAGGUGGUGGGGGUGGGGGUGUAAAAGGGUGGGUUAUGGUUG
rnacentral:rRNA from 1 species